ACUAAGACUCUCGGCAACGGAUAUCUCGGCUCUUACAUCGAUGAAGAACGUAGCGAAAUGCGAUACUUGGUGUGAAUUGCAGAAUCCCGUGAACCAUCGAGUCUUUGAACGCAAGUUGCGCCCGAGGCCUUCGGGUCGAGGGCACGCCUGCCUGGGCGUCACGC
rnacentral:rRNA from 1 species